AUUGAACGCUGGCGGCAGGCUUAACACAUGCAAGUCGAGCGGGGGAAGGUAGCUUGCUACCGGACCUAGCGGCGGACGGGUGAGUAAUGCUUAGGAAUCUGCCUAUUAGUGGGGGACAACAUCUCGAAAGGGAUGCUAAUACCGCAUACGUCCUACGGGAGAAAGCAGGGGAUCUUCGGACCUUGCGCUAAUAGAUGAGCCUAAGUCGGAUUAGCUAGUUGGUGGGGUAAAGGCCUACCAAGGCGACGAUCUGUAGCGGGUCUGAGAGGAUGAUCGGCCACACUGGGACUGCGGCACGGCCCAGACUCCUACGGGAGGCAGCAGGGGGGAAUAUUGGACAAUGGGGGGAACCCUGGUCCAGCCAUGCCGCGUGUGUGAAGAAGGCCUUAUGGUUGUAAAGCACUUUAAGCGAGGAGGAGGCUACUCUAGUUAAUACCUAGGGAUAGUGGACGUUACUCGCAGAAUAAGCACCGGCUAACUCUGUGCCAGCCGCCGUAACAC
rnacentral:rRNA from 1 species